AUGUCUCUUCUGUGAAAGAAACUUCAGCUAAACUCAUUUAAUCUGUUCUCUCUUUCUUACCUUUACAUGUCCCGAGCUGGAGUCCAUUUCUCUCCUGGUUUAUUGUUGUCAUAAGGGGCUGAGCUCAAAGUUCUAGGAUGAUGCUACCAAGGCAAAAACAUCAUUGAAUCCUCCUUUCCUACUGCAUGCCCUCUCAUUUUCAUUGCUGAGAAGGAAUGAAUUAUGUUUUCCUUGUACAGAAGAAACAGAAAUGAUGUUCUCACUAACUGAUUUUCUUGGUCCUCCCUCUCCUUGGAAAACUGAAGAAGUGCUCUUCUGCAUGGACAAGACCCUAGCUUUCCUUUGAGCCUUCUUUGGAUGGGAAGGCAGCCUUGCUGAGGAACUGAAACAAGAAAGAGUAGAAAGGGCUUAAAACUAAAGAUCAGGAUUUCUACCUCAAAAAUUGUUUGGGGAAAGUGUUUGUAUCAUUGAUUACAGCAAUAAAAUGGAAAAAAAAAAUACUAAAAAAAGGACUAUUUAACAAAAAUUGUCAAAUAUGAAAACCUUGUCAUUCUUCCUAGAUAGUACACUGUUAUUUGUGGCUGGUUUGGCAAUUUCAGAUGGGUUUGAUCUAGACUCCAAACAAAAUUAUAAAAAUGUUGGUAACUAGAAGGAAGAAUGAAAACAGAGUUAGGCCUCACUUUUUAGAAGAUCUGAUUAUUUAUGUUGUGUUGGUUUUGGCACAGUGCUGGAAACCUGACGUUUGAGGGAUAUUUCUAGACUUGAAUAAUGGGAGAGAAAUGUCUAUUUUGUUUGUAUUAUAUAGCUUGUAUUUGCCAGAAGUGGUGUGUUUGUGGGAUUGUUAUAGAUGGGAACUCAGCUUCACAAAGAUGAACUGGGUCUGUGGGGCCCAUAUGUGCAGAUUUCUUGCUUGGAGCAAGGCUGCAAUGAGGGCUACCCAGGACAGAAGAAAAUACACGGUUGGAAGGUUAGUGGGAUAAGGCUCACACUUUACACAUUUCUUUGUUUCGCACUGUACUUUAAAAAGGCAUUUGUGUGUGUGUGUGUGAGCAGGAAGCCACUUCUUUAUUACAAGGUAUUUGCUGUCAGUAAAGAUCUAAAUCACCUGAUGGGUAGAGGAACCUGUAAGUUGGUAAAUGGUAUCUGGUUUUCUGUCAUUCUAAUAAAAUAUUUCCUUUUUGCCUGUUAAUAGAGAAGAGCCACCCAAAACCUUCAAGACCUUUUCUAAAAUACACUCCUACAUUAGCUAAUACAAAUAGAACAUCCUGUCAAAUUUAUUACACUGUGUAAAAGAGACACUAAAUAGAGUAAGAAAUAAACACCAAACAGUGGAGCAAUUUAUACUUGCUGGAUAAAGUACCCUAGCACUCUACUCAGUUGAGUUCAUGUCACUUCCAAUCUUAUUUUGCUUUCAGGAAAUGAGAACAUGGCAAUGAGAUGUAUCUACAUCUGUGCACAGCUAGCGGCUGUGUAGUGCUUGGCUUUUAGUAGACACAUUCAGAACAGAGAGCAUGUGCUUUUCUUGUACUGUAGUUUCAUAAGAAAACCAGAAAACAUUGCAAACAGCAUAUCAGGUUAAGUGCAAAAGGUAUAAGCCCUAAGAUGCUUGGGUCGUAGGCCAACAAGGUUAUAUUGACGUUUACAGUGUUAGGCUGUUUAGUAAAAUUAAAGCCUGAGCUCCCAGUCAUUCGGGUAGUGUUAUUGGAUUACUGAGUAAAAGAUCCACACAGUUCUUAUGAAUACCACAUCGUGCCUUGCUGCAUUUUGUCAGGUGAUGUCAGCAGAGAAAUAACCUCUUUUCAGGCUCCUCUAAUGGCUACUCAGCCUGUCUGCAGGCAAUGUACUGUUCACUGAGGAAAAAGGCAUUUGUUAAGCAGCUUUGGCUGCCUUCCUGCAGGCUACUUACCCAGGAAUAAUACUCAAACCAGUGAAUAUAAUGAAGUUCAGUACCUUUUGAAGUAAUUCAGGUAGAAAUGAAGGAGUUUAUUUUGUUAAAGAACAGACAGCUCCCACUUUGUCAAAGCGAGAGUGUGAAAUAACCUUAAAUUGCCAGGGUUCAAUGCAGCAAAACCAUCAGCUUCAAGAUAAUGGCACAGACAGGCAGGCCAAGGGGAUGCUAUAAUACCAGUACCAGUAGUAUAUACAGAAAGUCUGAAAUGGUCUGUCUGGAUUUAUGCAUUGUACACUACCAUAUGCUAUUGUUGCUCUUAAAGGUUUUCUGUCAGUUUAAGUUGGUGUUGGAUGCAGUUAUGGUUCCCCCAUUGUUUAAAGAGAAAUAAGACUGGGUCUCUUCCUUACUAUGUUACAUAAGAAUGCCUAUUUGAGUGUUAAAGCAAACUUUAGGACAUGUCUGUCCCUAAGGACAUGUAGCAUAUUAGUAGCAGUAAGCAAUCUGGGGCCAUAGCCAGGUAGGAAAGAAACUCAGAAUAACAGAUUAGCAAUUGCCUAUUUUGCAGCCCAGGCAUUCAGACAAAAUACUCUAGUGAGUACUACUGAUUUAGUGCUCGUCAGUCUUUUGUACACAAAGAGUUGCUAGUUGAAUAUAUUUCAAUUCCAGAUUGAGGCUGUCCAGUGGAAUGGCAAGCUGAACUCUGUCUUUUCUCUCCCUGCUGUAAUUUUCCUAUUGAGUGGUCCUCAGUCUCCAUACUCCCACCAAAGGAGGAGUGAGCUGCCCUGGGCUGUCCCUCUGUCCAUUGACAGCACAGCCUCUUAGGAAACUGCAUGUAGGUCAGAUUUUAAUUAUAUGCCAAUUUCUUCACUGUGCCACAGGAUUUGAAUAUUGGAGGUGAAACCCUUGAAAAAUAUAUUAACAGGUGUAGUUCUUCAUAAUAUUGGUA